CAAAGGAUCGAUAACGGCAUUGGCCUUCAGUACAUUAGGUCUUAUAUCAGCAUCUGAGGAUGGUACUGUCCGCCUCUGGGAUGCUAUUAGUUGGGUGACUAUACGAAGAUUUAACUACCAAAAAGGGGCAGUAACUAAUCUUGCAUUGAUUCCGCAUUCUUCACUGCUUACUUCAUCAAACCAUCAAAGAGUUCCCUAUCAGAUCCGUCUUUCUUUGCUCGAAAAGUGUCCUCAGCCAGAAGCGAACUCAUCCAAGGGAACAGUCGCUCUCCUUCACUCGUGUUCUUCCCUGAAGGACCAUCAAACCUCUUUGGAUUUCAGAACCAAUUCAUUGAACCACCAAAUAUUUGAGAUGGAGGAAGCACAUACACCUGCAGCCCUGCAGAUGAAGUUAGAAACAAGCAUAGACAACCGGAUGUGGGCUACAAGAAUGACAAAACAUGUCAUGGAAAUAAACAAGCAUUUACAGUCUCGGCUGCUAGAUUUGAUGCAGAACCGAUUGUUAUGGAGUGCUGAAGAUGAUUCACCCACUGCAAGAAAGAGUAAGAAGCUUAAAAUUGGAAGUCCAUCACUCGAGGGAGAAAAGCUAUAGCAAUCCUCCAAUUAGUUCCAUGAUUUUUAUGCAGCUAAAG
rnacentral:misc_RNA from 1 species